GCCAGCAGCCAUAUCACCCUGCAACUCACAACUGGUAACCCACUGAAGCUAAACAGGUGUGAGCCUGGUCAGUACCUGGAUGGGAGACCACCUGGGAAAAACUAAGGUUGCUGCUGGAA
ensembl:rRNA 5S_rRNA 5S ribosomal RNA